rnacentral:tRNA from 1 species
AUUAAGGAGCUGUUAGCGAUUUUAUUGUUAAUGAAACGAAGUAAAGUAGUGAUGUACGG